AGCUCCAAUAGUGUAUACUAAAGUUGUUGCAGUUAAAAAGCUCGUAGUUGGAUUUCGGAUAGCAGAUUAAUAGUCUAUAUUCUAUAUAUACGCACUGUUAAUCUGUUUCCUUCUUUUUGGAUAUACUAUUUUAUAGUGUUCCAAAUCAUUUACUUUGAGAAAAUUAGAGUGUUCAAAGCAGGCGUAACAAAGCCUUUGAAUAUAUUAGCAUGGGAUAAUGAAAUAAGACUUUUUGCCUUAUUUUCGUUGGUCAUAGGGCUAAAGUAAUGAUUAAUAGGGAUAGUUGGGGUCAUUAGUAUUUAAUUGUCAGAGGUGAAAUUCUAAGAUUUAUUAAAGACUAACUACUGCGAAAGCAUUUGACAAGGAUGUUUUCA
rnacentral:rRNA from 1 species